UUUUAUUGCAAAAACUAAAAAUUAAUAACGUGCACAUUAUAGAAUUUGGUAUGCCUAGCGAAGCUUCCAAAACGGUACAGAUAUCUUCCAAAACGUUACAGAGAUCUUCCAAAUCGUUACAGAAAUCUUCCAAAUCGUUACAGAAAUCUUCCAAUUUAAAACGCUUAGUUGGCUUCCAAAAAUAUCGAUGGUGUUGGAAUACGGGACCAGUUCUGCCUAUAGAGUUCCCUUUCUACCCCACCCACUCUUCUAUGAUUAUACUUAAAGCACAGAAUAACAUAACCUUAAAUCUUCUUCUUCUUCUUCUCUUCAUUUGAAUGGCCUUAGCUGCCAGGGCUAUCCGGCCAGGAUCCGUGAAUAUAGACUUGAAUAUUCAAGAGCCGUACCUGAGGUACAUCUGGGCUUAAGCUCAUAGCUCCUGAAUCUGAAAUAUUAAGAGAUAAAAAAAAAACUUUGUAAUUGUUUAUAAGUUCCAUAACUAAAGUUCUACUAUUAAUGGUCUAGUUCUAGUACUACCACGCAAAACCGCACUAAGCACAAAGCACAUGCAUUGCAAGCAAGCAUAAGGUCUGUUCCUUUGUUUUUUAGGGCCAGUUGUUCAAUCAGUAGUUAACUCAUGGAUUAAGUAAACCGUAAUUAAAUUUAAUCUAAAGAUUAUUUUUUAAGAAGUUGUUCAAUGUUAGUUAACUUUCGGAUUUAUUAAACCCGAGUACUGAAGCGGCGACAACGUUGCCAGUUAUUAAUUAACGACUUGGAACAAACUUUAUCAUGAAAAUUGUACAUAAAAAUGUGUUCUGUGUUAAGUUAAUGAUUUUUGACAUGUAGUGUUUAGUACAUGUCAACUACUACUGACAGAGAUUUUAAUUUACAUUAUUAAACAUAUUUAAAAUGGAAGAAAGUAUUAAAAGUACAACUGCUAACUUAAAAAACAUCAGCAACAACAGCGUAAAAAAACAUGUUUAAAUAGUAAUGUUAAUUUUUAGCUUAUAAAAAUAAUUCCUAUUCCUUCACAAAAAUUUCAUUAAAAGUUUUUCCAAUUUGUUUUUACCUGAUUUUUACACAUAAUGAAAAAAGCCAAACUUCUGGAAAUAUGUACAUAUUUAUAAAUAAUUAAUAAUUAUUAUCAUGCAUAAAUUUGUAGAAAGCAUAAGUACCUAUACACUGAGAGAUCUAAUUUAUUUUUGUACUGGCUAUAUGUGCAUAUCACUGGGUUAUAAUAAUAUAAAUUUUUUAAGAAACACAUUUUUUUAAAGUCAAAAUAUUAUAUUAAAAACAGCUAAGAAAUAUUCGUCCUCUGUCAUAUCUCUGUCAUCAAAAUAAAAGAGAAAUAGCCAUUAAUUAUUAGAGACACGAAAUUGUAAUAGAUUAUUACUGCAUUAUUACUGCAAAUCUUAUCUACGAUUGAAAAUAUAUAGAAAGAACAAUUCAAAAUACAUACAUAUACCUAGCUAGUGCAAUAACUAUGAUUGUUCCAAUUUGGAAAUUUCUUGAAAAUAUUUAAUUUAAAACCAGAAAGUAAGGUUACAAAUCUUUAGUUAACACCGUUAAUCCUUCGUUUUUGAACGAUUAAGAUAAUCUCUUGUUAACAGUUGGUUAAGUGUUAAACUUGCAUUGAACAACGCAAUAUUAAGUUUAAUUGAAGAUUAUUUUUAAUCUGAAGAUAAUCUCCAAUUGAACAAUCGGCCCUAGGUGUUACACUUUUGAGUGUAAGUGUACGAAAUUCUAUGGACAUUUGAGUGUAAAAUGACAGCGGAUGUGACAGCGGCUCAUGACAGCGGACAGUAUUAAACGAAAAUUAUCGGUGUGCCAAUCAAGCAAAGGGAUAAGGAACUUCCGAAUAUGGCCUAACUGGGGGCACAUAACAUAACAUAACCUAAUCCUAAUAUUUACAUUUGUAAAGAAUAUCCUGUUUGUUUUUAUUGUCGAUUGUUCAGCGAAAUUGUGUGCAGCAAAUCAAAUAUAAAGUAGUUUAUCGCCUACAGAACUGAAUUAGUCCAUAGCAGUUAUCAGUUUUUCUUUCUUGGGAAGCUUAUACAUGUAACUUGUAUUGUUGUAAAUUGUGGGAGUAGGGCAGACAGGGAAAAGUCUUAUUUUGUACUGUUCCCAAGGCUCCCCAUGCAAUACAUUUAAAUGAAUUAUCCAAACAAAGCUGGGGACAAUGGAUAAAAGCCACAAGAAGAACAGAUAUAAGGGAACUAAAAUUAAAAUAUGAAAAGUAAACAUUUUAUAAGUGGAACAACCACCAGAUAUUUAAAAGGUAUAAAAAGAAGAAACUGCUGGAAUUUCAAAACAAAUGUGUUUGACCAGUAAAGACUGUAAUCAAUAAAGUAAUCGUUUAAUUGUUAAUAAAUUAUCAAGUAUGA
rnacentral:lncRNA from 1 species